GCGUUCUCAUAGUGCAGCACAUUCUUGCCUGGUCUGGCUCUGGUGAUUGACCACAGACGGGUGAAGAUGACAGCAGGAAUAGUUGAUGCUCACUUUCGGAAGCCGGCUGCAUCAUCUUGUGUUGGGUCAGGUUCCACCUUGCGCACAAUCUUGGCACCGACGGACUUGAUGCGGUUAUCAAGACACCUGUUGCAAUAAGAAACCUGACUGUGAACAUGGAUGACUGUCGCCAGAGACUACCAUCCGCAUGGAUGCCUGGGCUUCCAGCUGUUUGCCCUGGCUGUCUAGUCUCCAUUCCAGGUGGC